AUACGUAGGGGGCGAGCGUUGUCCGGAAUGAUUGGGCGUAAAGGGCGCGUAGGCGGCCCGGUAAGUCUGGAGUGAAAGUCCUGUUUUUAAGAUGGGAAUUGCUUUGGAUACUGUCGGGCUUGAGUGCAGGAGAGGUAAGUGGAAUUCCCAGUGUAGCGGUGAAAUGCGUAGAGAUUGGGAGGAACACCAGUGGUGAAGGCGACUUACUGGACUGUAACUGACGCUGAGGCGCGAAAGUGUGGGGAGCAAACAGGAUUAGAUACCCUGGUAGUCCACACUGUAAACGAUGAAUGCUAGGUGUAGGGGGUAUCGACCCCUUCUGUGCCGCAGUCAACACAAUAAGCAUUCCGCCUGGGGAGUACGGCCGCAAGGUUGAAACUCAAAUGAAUUGGCGGGG
rnacentral:rRNA from 1 species